rnacentral:rRNA from 1 species
GAUGAACGCUGGCGGCGUGCCUAAUACAUGCAAGUCGAGCGAACAGACGAGGAGCUUGCUCCUCUGAUGUUAGCGGCGGACGGGUGAGUAACACGUGGAUAACCUACCUAUAGGACUGGGAUAACUUCGGGAAACCGGAGCUAAUACCGGAUAACAUGUUGAACCGCAUGGUUCAACAGUGAAAGACGGUCUUGCUGUCACUUAUAGAUGGAUCCGCGCCGCAUUAGCUAGUUGGUAAGGUAACGGCUUACCAAGGCAACGAUGCGUAGCCGACCUGAGAGGGUGAUCGGCCACACUGGAACUGAGACACGGUCCAGACUCCUACGGGAGGCAGCAGUAGGGAAUCUUCCGCAAUGGGCGAAAGCCUGACGGAGCAACGCCGCGUGAGUGAAGAAGGUCUUCGGAUCGUAAAACUCUGUUAUUAGGGAAGAACAAAUGUGUAAGUAACUAUGCACGUCUUGACGGUACCUAAUCAGAAAGCCACGGCUAACUACGUG